rnacentral:rRNA from 1 species
GGUGGUGCAUGGCCGUUCUUAGUUGGUGGAGUGAUUUGUCUGGUUAAUUCCGAUAACGAACGAGACCUUAACCUGCUAACUAGUUCUCAAUACUCUGUAUUCUGCAACCUCUUAGAGGGACUAUGUAAAUCAAUUACAUGGAAGUUUGAGGCAAUAACAGGUCAGUGAUGCCCUUAUAUGUCCUGGGCUGCACGCGUGCUACACUGAUGCAUACAACAAGUGCCUAGCCAGACAUGGUAUGGCAAUCUCGAAUAUGCAUCGUGAUAGGGAUAGAUCUUUGCAAUU